CCUANGGGUGGCUGCAGUGAGGAAUAUUGGGCAAUGGGCGCAAGCCUGACCCAGCCAUGCCGCGUGAAGGAUGAAUGCCCUAUGGGUUGUAAACUUCUUUUGUACGGGACGAAACUCCUGGUCGUGACCAGGAUUGACUGUACCGUGCGAAUAAGCAUCGGCUAACUCCGUGCCAGCAGCCGCGGUAAUACGGAGGAUGCAAGCGUUAUCCGGAUUCAUUGGGUUUAAAGGGUGCGUAGGCGGAAUAGUAAGUCAGUGGUGAAAGCCUGCGGCUUAACCGUAGAAUUGCCAUUGAUACUGUUAUUCUUGAGUAUAGUUGAGGUGGGCGGAAUGUGUAAUGUAGCGGUGAAAUGCUUAGAUAUUACACAGAACACCAAUUGCGAAGGCAGCUCACUAAGCUGUUACUGACGCUGAGGCACGAAAGCGUGGGGAGCAAACAGGAUUAGAUACCCUGNUANUC
rnacentral:rRNA from 1 species